UCCUAUGACUGUGCUACCCUGAACAAGCCCAAUCCCGUCUGAUCUUGGAAGCUAAGCAGGGUCGGAUCUGGUUAGUACUUGGAUGGGUGACCACAUAGGAAGACCAGGUGCUGUAGGCA
rnacentral:rRNA from 1 species